AAGGGAUUAGUUAAAUUAUAACAUUAGAAUGUCAAACUAAAAUUAUUGAAUUGAUCAAUAUCUCUUG
rnacentral:tRNA from 1 species